GGCCCUACGGGGCGCAGCAGUGAGGAAUAUUGGUCAAUGGGCGGAAGCCUGAACCAGCCAAGUCGCGUGAGGGAAUAAGGCCCUACGGGUCGUAAACCUCUUUUGCCGGGGAGCAAGGGCGGGGACGUGUCCCGGCCCGGAGAGUACCCGGAGAAAAAGCAUCGGCUAACUCCGUGCCAGCAGCCGCGGUAAUACGGAGGAUGCGAGCGUUAUCCGGAUUUAUUGGGUUUAAAGGGUGCGUAGGCGGGCUGCCAAGUCAGCGGUAAAAUUGCGGGGCUCAACCCCGUCGAGCCGUUGAAACUGGC
rnacentral:rRNA from 1 species